rnacentral:rRNA from 1 species
AACGAACGCUGGCGGCAUGCCUAACACAUGCAAGUCGAACGAGACCUUCGGGUUUAGUUGCGCUGGGGUGCGUAACGCGUGGGAACCUGCCCUUAGGUUCGGAAUAACUCCCCUAAAGGUGUGCUAAUACCGGUUAAUGUCUUCGGAGCAAAGAUCUAUUGCCUUUGGAUGGGGCCGCGUUGGAUUAGCUGGUUGGUAGGGUAAAAGCCUACCAACGCGACGAUCCAUGGCUGGUAUGAGAGGAUGAUCAACCGCACUGGCACUGAGGCACGGCCCAGACUCCUACGGGGGGGAGCAGUAGGGAAUAUUAGGGGCUGAGCGAAAGCCUAGUCCAGCAAUGCGGCGUGAGAGAGGAAGGCCUUAGGGUUGUAAAGCUCUUUUUCACGGGAUGAGAAUGACAGUACCGGGAAAAGAAGCUCCGGCUAACUCCGUG